CUCAGGCAGGCGCUAACUUUCCUUAAUAUCCACGCCAGCGCCGUCCUCAUUGGCUGCCCGGCCCGCGUGACGUCAUGGCGGCUAGAGUUGGGCACAGCUCUGCGCCGACUAGUUUUCCGGCCGGGCGGGAGCCUGCUUCUCCCCACCCAGGGUCCGGCCGGCUCCAACCCCUGCUUUGGCCUUCCUUGGCCCGGCCUGUGACUGCUCUAGCCCGGCCCGGUCCAGCCUGGGCCGCCGUCCUGUAUGGCGUAGAGUCGAUCCCCAGGAAACUAGUCUUGCCGAGUGCGCUCCUCCGCACCUUCGGGCACUAGGGCCCCAAGAUCUCUGCCCUUAGGCUGGCCAGCUACCUCUCUGGGUAAUCACCCUGUCCCCUCCUCCGAUCCCCAAGGGAGUCCCUUCAUCGGAGAGACCCGAAGGCCGCGCCGGGAUGGAGAGGCGCUUUUGGCAGGAAUCAUUUUUAGGAGGAGUUCGAGGCUCGAUGAGUACCCUCAACCUGGCCCUCGAGCCCGCAAGUCACUAGCUGGGCACAGACGGGGGCUCCGGGAAGAGGACAUGCGACCCCUUUUUCAGGGCCUAGGCCAAAGGUCUCUCCAGGCCUGCUGGGUUCUCAAGAGGGAAGCCCUAAAGGGGGCCUACCCGGGCUUCCCUCGCCCUCUGGCUGAAAGGCUCCAACCACAUUAGAAAAUGUAGGUGAUUGUAUUUAUCUUUGACUUUGAAUUAACUGUUGACUUUGUGACUUAGAGGAGGAAAACAGGAAAAUCCCAGAUUCUGAAGUCAAUACUCAUAGAAAUUGGGGCGGGGUCUGCAGGACACUGACUUGCUGGUCUGUGCCUGUUUUUCCCUCACACCUUCUGUGGACUGCGAGAUGGCUUAGCGGAGCUAGGCCUGGCUAUCUUGGAAUGGAGAUUUAGACCCUCGUUGUCAUUCCCGUCCCUCAUCCCUCAAAACAGGAAGCUUCUCAACUCCUUCCCCUAUGCUUCCAUCUGGCUCUCCAAUUUGAAAGUGACAGUGGUGGGGCCCGGAGGGGCAGGGGUCACUUGAGGAGUUUGCGGGAGAGGAAG
rnacentral:lncRNA from 1 species